rnacentral:rRNA from 1 species
AUGGCAAGCUCCUCGGCGAACUCCUUCCCCUCAUCUCCGUUUGCACACACCGCAACAGAGAAGCUUACGAGAGGGAACGAGGCGCUAUGGCGCGCCACCGUGCUCUCGGCCAUCCGAGGGGCGCAGAUGGCGUCCUUCCUCGACGUCGAGCAGGUGGUGCCCCCGACGGAAAUUGAGGUCACGAGCAGCGACGGUAAGACCAAGUCCAAGGCCCCCAAUCCAGAGUUCGGUGCGUGGUACGCGCGCGAUCAGCAGGUGUUCUCCUACCUGCUGACCACGCUGCCUCGCGAGAUGGCCAUCCAGGUGGCGACGUGCCACACCGCAGCAGAGCUGUGGAACACGGUGCAGGGGAUGCUGGCAUCGCAUACCCGUGCCUAG